rnacentral:rRNA from 1 species
CAGUCGCCGCGGUAAUACGUAGGUGGCGAGCGUUGUCCGGAUUUAUUGGGCGUAAAGGGAGUGUAGGUGGUCUUUUAAGUCUGAUGUGAAAGCCCACGGCUCAACCGUGGAGGGUCAUUGGAAACUGGGAGACUUGAGUGCAGAAGAGGAGAGCGGAAUUCAUGUGUAGCGGUGAAAUGCGUAGAUAUAUGGAGGAACACCAGUGGCGAAGGCGGCUCUCUGGUCUGUAACUGACGCUGAGGCUCGAAAGCGUGGGGAGCAAACAGGAUUAGAUACCCCUGUAGUCCCUGUCUCUUAUACA